rnacentral:rRNA from 1 species
CCCGCCGGCGACCGGCGCACGGGUGAGUAACACGUAUGCAACCUGGCCGCCACAGGGGGAUAACCCGCGGAAACGCGGCCUAAUACCCCGUGACGCCACCGGAGGGCAUCCUCCGGUGGCCAAAGGAGCGAUCCGGUGGCGGAUGGGCAUGCGGCGCACUAGCUAGACGGCGGGGUGACGGCCCACCGUGGCGACGAUGCGUAGGGGUUCUGAGAGGAAGGCCCCCCACACUGGGACUGAGACACGGCCCAGACUCCUACGGGAGGCAGCAG